rnacentral:rRNA from 1 species
GACAGAGGGUGCAAACGUUGUUCGGAAUUACUGGGCGUAAAGCGCGUGUAGGCGGCUAAGUAAGUCGGGCGUGAAAUCCCACGGCUCAACCGUGGAAGUGCACUCGAAACUGCGUAGCUAGAGUCCUGGAGAGGAAGGUGGAAUGCUUGGUGUAGAGGUGAAAUUCGUAGAUAUCAAGCGGAACACCGGUGGCGAAGGCGGCCUUCUGGACAGUGACUGACGCAUGAGACGGCGAAAGCGUGGGG